rnacentral:rRNA from 1 species
GGGGCACCCUGAUCCAGCCAUGCCGCGGUGGUGUGAAGAAGGCCCUCGGGAUUGUAAAGCNCUUUCAGCGAGGAAGAACGCCUGGCGAUUAAUACCCGCCAGGAAAGACAUCACUCGCAGAAGAAGCACCGGCUAACUCCGUGCCAGCAGCCGCGGUAAUACGA